GCCAAGCAAAGCUAGGUUUUACCUGGAUGAUACAUUUGAAGUCGUCACCAUGUUGAGUUCACUGGCGGAUGCUUCAGAACCAGACCUUAUGGCAGACUUGGAAGAUGACUUGGCCACAUCAGUCUCAUCAAUAGAAAUAAGUGACAGAGUGGUAUCUUUUAGUAAUUUAAGGACAGAAGGAUCUUAGUCUGGUGUUUCUGCGUUGCUUU
rnacentral:misc_RNA from 1 species